AAUAGAUACCCCGGUAGUCCACGCUGUAAACGUUGGGCGCUAGGUGUGGGGGGCCUCUCCGGUUCUCUGUGCCGCAGCUAACGCAUUAAGCGCCCCGCCUGGGGAGUACGGCCGCAAGGCUAAAACUCAAAGGAAUCGACGGGGGCCCGCACAAGCGGCGGAGCAUGCGGAUUAAUUCGAUGCAACGCGAAGAACCUUACCUGGGUUUGACAUGGCCGCAAAACCGGCAGAGAUGUCGGGUCCUUCGGGGGCGGUCACAGGUGGUGCAUGGCUGUCGUCAGCUCGUGUCGUGAGAUGUUGGGUUAAGUCCCGCAACGAGCGCAACCCUCGUUCGAUGUUGCCAGCGCGUUAUGGCGGGGACUCAUCGAAGACUGCCGGGGUCAACUCGGAGGAAGGUGGGGAUGACGUCAAGUCAUCAUGCCCCUUAUGUCCAGGGCUUCACGCAUGCUACAAUGGCCGGUACAAUGGGCUGCGAUACCGUGAGGUGGAGCGAAUCCCAAAAGCCGGUCUCAGUUCGGAUCGGGGUCUGCAACUCCG
rnacentral:rRNA from 1 species